GAUGGCGCCCCGGCCCGGCACCGCCGGACGCCCGCGGAUUGCUUUGUCCGUGACGAGAUUCGCAGCCGCGCACUCCUCCUCCCAAGCGCGCUGCGAUGGACUGGCAACACUCCUCCUCCCAGUUGCCA
rnacentral:sRNA from 7 species